CUGAGUAAUGCAGUCCCUCGGGGAAAGUAGGCUGGAAACCUUUGUCAAGGGGCAGUCAAGCCCUGUAAGGCUGUAAGGUGGAAGCGGCCCGCGUGCACCCUGCAUCGACAGGAGAGCCCCCUGAUGAUUGUUUGCGUUUGGGGCCCCCUCUGUUUAAACACUAAGGAGUCCAUGGAGGAGUGUGUGAGCUCCAAAGGAACCUGAAGAACCAACCAGCAACAGCUCUUGGCUGCAAUAGGAUUUGCAGGGUUACCCAGUAGCCCUACGGUUUCCAGGCCCACAUAUGAAGAGAAUCAUGGAGCAUCAGAGUUGGAAAGGAUCGUACUACACCUGUUAGGAAACCAAAGAUCCAGAGAGAUGAAGUGACUUGUCCAAAAUUACACAGCAAAUCUGCAAGUGAACAGGGAAAAAAAAUAGAUCUUCUGGUUCUUUCCUGUGCCACUCUUCCUCUCGAGGGUUAAGGCUUUCUCUUAGACACACAAGCCUUUCAUAAGGAGAGAUUACUGGACUACUGUUACACUUUCACCCAAAUUCCAUGAGACAUGCACACCUCUAGAGUCUUCCUACCAUUCUGCAAUUCUCCAGAUCAAGAACCCCAACUUCCCGCCUCAUAGUUUGGCAUCUGGCCAGGCAGUGCUGUCUGAAAUACCAGCUCCUGGCAACAGAUCAUUCUUUCCUGAGUCAGAAGAGGGGGGAUGGAUUAUUUAUUUCCUUUUGGGGACCAGUAGAAUGCACUCUUGCCUUUGUGGGAGGCUCCUAAUUAUAAAGGAGGAAUGUGUCAACUGCUCUGCCCAGACCCUCUACCUACAGAGAUCUGCUAAGUUAAUGAAGUAAACACUAGCUGCUCCCCUCCUUCCCCAUUCUAUUUUCUUGUCUUCUUUCUUUGAAAAUUUUAGAAUUGGACUGGAACUGAAAAUCAUUAUGUUAUGCUAAAGAAGCACUUCUUCUUUAGAGUCA